AGCAUCACAGCUGCCCCGAGGACGUACUCCAGUCACACUGACUGUAGAGGAACCUCAUAAAUUUUGUGUCUUGUUUCAUUUAUUCCACUGCACCCACCGUCGAUUUUACAACUGCAUAUUUUAUGUCAUCAGCAUGGGGGUGUUGUUUUUCAGAAUACAGAAUCAGGGUUUGAAACAAGAACCAAUUGAAGUCAGUUUCUUCUCAAUUGCAGCUUGAUUCCAGAGAAGGAUUGAAAUUCAUAGGAUUUCAUGAACUGGGCUGAAUCUGUGGAAGAUGAAGAUAAAGGUGAUAACCACGAGACUUCCUAACUCAACAGGUAAUCCUUCAUUCAUUUUUACCUUCCUGCACAAAAAAGAUGGAUUUCAUUCCGCUGCUGGUAAUGCUAAUGCUACUAGUACAGAUAGAUUCAAACAAACCCAUUUGGAAUCGGACAAUUUGAUUCAAACUCGAUGCAAAUCUGGAAAGAUUAGGAAAGAUGAAGCAUUGGGUUACUUCGAUUCCAUGAUUCAAACCAAACCCUUGCCCUCUAUUUGGACUUUCAAUUGUUUGUUUGGGGCACUCUCCAAGAUGAAGCAAUAUUCUGCUGUGGUUUCUAUGUGUAAACAGUUGAUGGGUUGCGCUCAGUUCCGACUUGAUGUCAGUACGAUGACUAUGUUUCUGAAUUACAUGUGCCGUCUUAACCGGAUGGACUUGGGUUUCUCUGUUUUAGCAAUUACCCUUAAAUACGGUCUUCAACCCAACGCUCAUUCUAUAAAUACUUUGCUCCAUGGACUUUGCAAGAAUAGUUCUCUAGCCAAGGCAAUGGAGUUCUUCCAGGAAAUAGAAGAGAAGGGAUACACAUGCGAUGAAAUCACUUAUGCUACAAUAAUUAAUGGGUUAUGCAAAGCUGGGAAAACUUCUAAGGCACUCGAGAUACUAAUGAAGAUGUGGGAAGAUGGAAGGUUGAAGCCCAACCAAGAUUGCUACAAUCCCAUCAUCGAUAGCCUCUGUAAAGAAAGACGAAUAGGCGAGGCCUUGACCCUAUUUCGAGAUAUGAUCAGCAAAAAUGUUGUACCGAAUGUUUUCAGUUAUGCCACAUUGAUUCAUGGGUUAUGCAACACGAGCCGCUGGGAAGAAGUGCUCUCUCUUUUUGGAGGAAUGGUAGAUCAAGGAGUCAAGCCUAAUGUUGUCACCUACAACACUCUAAUUUAUGCGAUGUGCCAAUCGGGGAGGUUUGAAAAAGCCAAGAGCUUCUUGAUUUGCAUGCUUAACAGUGGAAUUUCGCCCGAUGUAUACACAUAUAUGUUCUUAUCGGCCGUCUUUGCAAGGAAGAAAGAAUUCAAGAAGCACUUACUCUGUUGGAAAAUAUGACAACGAAAGGCAUAAAGCCUGAUGUUGUCACUUUUACUUCCUUGAUUUCUGCAUCAUGCAAGUCUGGUAACUGGGAGGAAGGUGUGAGGUUAUUCAAAACCAUGAUUGGUUAUGGAGCCUUGCCUAAUAUUGUUACAUACAGUGCUGUUCUGGAUGCUUUAUGCAAGGAAGGGAAGACAGCAGAGGCACUGAAUCUUGUGGAAGAAAUGAUCAGUAGGGGGAAAAGCCUAAUGUUGUGACUUACAGCUCCUUAAUUAAUGGAUUGUGCCAGACCAGCCAAUGUAGAGAAGCGACAAGGUUGUUUAAUAGAAUGCUGGAUGAAGGUAUUGCCCCAAAUGUUAGAACCUAUAAUAAUAUGAUAAGUUCUCUUUGCAAGGAGGGGAGGACGGAGGAAGCCCUCAGUAUGUUAGAGUUAAUGACUCAAAGAGGUCUGGCACCUGAUGUUAUCACUUAUAGCAGUUUAAUCCAUGGCAUGUGUCGUACAACUCAAUGGGAAGAAGCCACAAGGUUGUUUGAUGAUAUGGUAGGCCGGGGACUCUUGCCUGAUACCGUUACUUUGGUAAUACUUUUGGAUGCUAUCUGCAAAGGUAGGAUGACAGAAGAGACUCACAAAAUAUUUGAGGCAACAAUUGAAUACGGUAUGAAACUUGGUACAAUAACUUGCAGUAUGGUGGUUAAUGAAUAUUGUUUGCAUGGCAGAAUGGAUAAGGCGAAGGCGUUCUUGAACUUAAUGGUGGUUAUGGGUUAUGUGCCUGAUAUUGCUUCCUAUAAAACGUUAACAGAAUAGGUGAAGCUUUGGAGCUUGUUAAAGAAAUGAUCCAAAUAGGAUCGAUGCCUGAUCUAGAAAUGCAACAAACUUUUGGGCGUUUUCGUCCUAAAAGGCAUAUUGGAUUAGCAGGACUUUCGGUUGAGUCUUCCUGUGGAAACAUUUCUGUGGGCUUUUAAAUGCUUAGAGCAAGAUGGAAUUCUAUUCCAUUAACUGAAGAUGGAAUAACAGGAUCAAGGGUAAGUACGUUUAUCCAAGAGAGUCCACCCAGACAAGUAUGCUGCUUCUGAAAGAGCUGCCCUCCAUUUGUGGAUCUUGUCAAUGUUAUCCUUAUUUUUUUUUUUUUUUUUUUUUUUUUUUGUUACCCUCCACCACCCACACAAACACAAACACACACACCAGGUUUCGAACCUGGGACCUAGAACUACCCCACCCCUUACCCACACCCUCACCACUAGGCUAUUUACCCGAGGUGAGCAAGUCCAUCACCAAAGCAACCGUUCUGAUUUCGCACAUCCGAGGGACUCACCUUGUAAAAUACCAGUACCACCAUUUGUUGAUUUGAUUCCUUGCAGUCAAGGAUCUUAACAAGUUCGUCCAAGCAUCACCUUGAGGAAGCAUAGUUUUUGAGAACACAAUGACAGAAAUCCUCGAUUCUUCAAUCGCUUUUAUGAGCUCUGUGGAUAUUUCUACUCUGGAGGUUUUCUUGUCAGUGACAUUAUUUUACAAAGAAAGUUGAAAAGGAAAAUUACAAAAGCACCCAAUACCUUGAGAAACACGAUACACCACCAAUCAAUAUUCAUCAAUUCGAAAAUAAUAUAAAUAAAAAAUUGCAUUGGACAUUCACAAUGUAAAAUUAACAUUGAAAAUCCGAAAUAAAAUCGAAAUAAUUAAAGUACAUAGGUUUCCUCUUGUUCUUUGUUUGCUUGGCACGUGAUCUGUAAGUAGUCAACUAAUUUGGGCCCUAUAUUUCCGAGCCCAACAUAAAUACCUUCUUCCUUGUUUUUUCCUCUUCCCCAAAGUGACUAGUUUAAAGAAGUGAGAUAUG